GAUGAACGCUGGCGGCGUGCCUAAUACAUGCAAGUCGAGCGAACAGACGAGGAGCUUGCUCCUCUGACGUUAGCGGCGGACGGGUGAGUAACACGUGGAUAACCUACCUAUAAGACUGGGAUAACUUCGGGAAACCGGAGCUAAUACCGGAUAACAUGUUGAACCGCAUGGUUCAACAGUGAAAGACGGUCUUGCUGUCACUUAUAGAUGGAUCCGUGCCGCAUUAGCCAGUUGGUAAGGUAACGGCUUACCAAGGCAACGAUGCGUAGCCGACCUGAGAGGGUGAUCGGCCACACUGGAACUGAGACACGGUCCAGACUCCUACGGGAGGCAGCAGUAGGGAAUCUUCCGCAAUGGGCGAAAGCCUGACGGAGCAACGCCGCGUGAGUGAAGAAGGUCUUCGGAUCGUAAAACUCUGUUAUUAGGGAAGAACAAAUGUGUAAGUAACUAUGCACGUCUUGACGGUACCUAAUCAGAAAGCCACGGCUAACUACGUG
rnacentral:rRNA from 1 species